rnacentral:lncRNA from 1 species
CCCAUUAAAAAAAAAAGAAAAGAAAGGGAUAACGGGCCGGCCCGAAAAGACCGGGUCCGUCUCCCUUUUACGAUCGUGCCCUAGGCACGAUCGUGGAUGGAGGGCGCUUGAGGGGAGGGGGCGGCGGCGUUGGAGAGGGCUCGCCGGAGGGAUUUGAGCGCCGGAGGGAGGAACCGGCCGGCCGCGGAGGAAGCCGGAAGCUUUUCCCUCCCUCGGUGAAGAUCCCCCACAAAUCAGGGGAAGAAGUCUCGGAUCCGUGCGUGAAAACCCAAGACCCUCCUCCGAUUCCUCGCCGGAAAGUCGUCGGAACACCCUCAUCGGGCCGAGGUAAGCAUGGCUUCGUCCUUUGCAUGUUAUUUGCCUGGUUUUGGGUUGGGUUUCCUGGGUUAUGGCUGACGGAAUCACCGAAGAAGGAUCUGAAACAGGGUACCCCUGUUUCGGCUCCUCUCCUCCGGAUUUUGCCGCCGCCCGCUGCCGGGAUUGGCCGGGAUCCAUGGUUUUGGGCGUCGAUCGGGUUUUAUGGAGAUGGGUGAGGGAUUUUCUAGGGUUUUAUUGGGGGAUGGGGGAUGGUGGACCGAGGGCGUCCCGCACGGUUCCACCUCCUUCUUCUCUCCCUCUCGCGUCGGCUGGCCACCGGCGGCGACAGCGGCGGCGGUCGGGGGCCACGGAGGAGACAGUGGUGUCAGGAGGUUUUGAUCAGGGGACUCAGCACCCCAGCUCGUAGAUUGUGAUCCGGAUCCGUAUUUGAGUCAGUCCACAAAUUUCUAGGCACUAGAUUUGUAGAGAUCCAUUGGGUGGGACGAGAAAUAAGAUCAGCAUGGAGUCUGAUUGCUGGAUAGAUAGAAGUUAAUCUAUUCUUUUAUUUAUGGACAUUUGAAAUUAUGUAAUAAAUCAGUACAUUUUAGUUGGAUUUGAUUGAAUUACAUUAAUCUUUGAUUUUGGCAUAUAUGUGAAUAUUGUACCUUUUAGGCCUUGCAUGAUCUUUAGGGCACUGCUCUAGGGCUCAUGCGGCCGGUCGCGUGCCGGACCCGGGUGAUGGGUUCGGGGCGUGACAGAGUGGUAUCAGAGCUUAAGGUUAAGGUAUCCUAGGGUUUAUGUUCAAGUGAGUAUCAGUGGAGAAUUAUGAUAGAAAAACUAUCAGAGAUUUGGUUUAUAAUCACUUGAG